GGAUGUGAGGGUGAUCUGGCUACGACAUCUGUCACCCCACUGAUCGCCAGGGUUGAUUCAGCUGAUCUGGCUGGCUAGGCGGGUGUCCCCUCCUCCCUCCCUCACCGCUCCAUGUGUGUCCCUCCCGAAGCUACGAGCUCGGUUGAAGAGGAUGGCCUUCCCCAAAUACAGACGGACCGGUCUUCGGUUGAGAGUGUACAAGUAGCUGCGCUCCCCUGAUAGAACCUCCAAACAAGCUCUCUCAAAAUGAUGUGACUAGCUAAUUCUUUUCUCCUACUUUCAUAAAUAAAACACCCUUGGAAUU
ensembl:misc_RNA 7SK 7SK RNA